UUGAUCCUGGCUCACGAUGAACGCUGGCGGCGUGCUUACACAUGCAAGUCGAACGAAGCCCUCGGGCUUAGUGGCGGACGGGUGAGUAACGCGUGAGAAUCUACCUUCGAGAUGGGGACAACCGUUGGAAACGACGGCUAGGCCCCAAUAAGCCGAAAGGUGAAAGGGUUUCCGCUCGCAGAGGAGCUCGCGUCCGAUUAGUUAGUUGGUGGGGUAAGAGCCUACCAAGGCAGCGAUCGGUAGCUGGUCUGAGAGGAUGAGCAGCCACACUGUGACUGAGACACGGCCCAGACUCCUACGGGAGGCAGCAGUGGGGAAUUUUCCGCAAUGGGCGCAAGCCUGACGGAGCAACGCCGCGUGUGGGAAGAAGGCUCUUGGGCUGUCAACCACUUUUCUCAGGGAAGAAGUCCUGACGGUACCUGAGGAAUCAGCCUCGGCUAACUCCGUGCCAGCAGCCGCGGUAAUACGGAGGAGGCAAGCGUUAUCCGGAAUUAUUGGGCGUAAAGCGUCCGCAGGGGGCACUUCAAGUCUGCUGUCAAAGGUCGGAGCUUAACUCCGGUUCGGCAGUGGAAACUGGAGUGCUAGAGGGCGACAGGGGUAGAGGGAAUUCCCAGUGUAGCGGUGAAAUGCGUAGAGAUUGGGAAGAACACCGGUGGCGAAAGCGCUCUACUGGGUCGCACCUGACCCUCAGGGACGAAAGCUAAGGUAGCGAAAGGGAUUAGAUACCCCGUGUAGUCUUAGCCGUAAACGAUGGGAUACUAGGCGUGGUUUGUAAUCGAGCCAAGCCGUGCCGAAGCU
rnacentral:rRNA from 1 species